rnacentral:rRNA from 1 species
AGGUAAGCUACUAAGAGCGAAUGGUGGAUGCCUUGACUGGUAAAGGCGAUGAAGGACGUACUAGACUGCGAUAAGCUACGGGGAGCUGUCAAGAAGCUUUGAUCCGUAGAUUUCCGAAUGGGGCAACCCAAUGUAUAGAGAUAUACAUUACCUAUAUAGGAGCGAACGAGGGGAAUUGAAACAUCUUAGUACCCUCAGGAAAAGAAAUCAAUAGAGAUUGCGUCAGUAGCGGCGAGCGAAAGCGCAAGAGGGCAAACCCAGUGCUUGCACUGGGGGUUGUAGGACUGCAAUGUGCAAGAGCUGAGUUUAGCAGAACAUUCUGGAAAGUAUAGCCAUAGAGGGUGAUAGUCCCGUAUGCGAAAAACAAAGCUUAGCUAGCAGUAUCCUGAGUAGGGCGGGACACGAGGAAUCCUGUCUGAAUCCGGGUCGACCACGAUCCAACCCUAAAUACUAAUACCAGAUCGAUAGUGCACAAGUACCGUGAGGGAAAGGUGAAAAGAACUGAGGUGAUCAGAGUGAAAUAGAACCUGAAACCAUUUGCUUACAAUCAUUCAGAGCACUAUGUAGCAAUACAGUGUGAUGGACUGCCUUUUGCAUAAUGAGCCUGCGAGUUGUGGUGUCUGGCAAGGUUAAGCAAACGCGAAGCCGUAGCGAAAGCGAGUCUGAAUAGGGCGCUUAGUCAGAUGCUGCAGACCCGAAACGAAGUGAUCUAUCCAUGAGCAAGUUGAAGCUAGUGUAAGAACUAGUGGAGGACUGAACCCAUAGGCGUUGAAAAGCCCCGGGAUGACUUGUGGAUAGGGGUGAAAGGCCAAUCAAACUUCGUGAUAGCUGGUUCUCUCCGAAAUAUAUUUAGGUAUAGCGUUGUGUCGUAAUAUAAGGGGGUAGAGCACUGAAUGGGCUAGGGCAUACACCAAUGUACCAAACCCUAUCAAACUCCGAAUACCUUAUAUGUAAUCACAGCAGUCAGGCGGCGAGUGAUAAAAUCCGUCGUCAAGAGGGAAACAACCCAGACUACCAGCUAAGGUCCCUAAAUCUUACUUAAGUGGAAAACGAUGUGAAGUUACUUAAACAACCAGGAGGUUGGCUUAGAAGCAGCCAUCCUUUAAAGAAAGCGUAAUAGCUCACUGGUCUAGUGAUUUUGCGCGGAAAAUAUAACGGGGCUAAAGUAA